GCGAAAGCUAUUCAAACGUGGUGUUGUAUCACAAGGUGCGAUAAUUGCUCGAAGACAUUGGCAGUUAAGAUAUUUUAGCCCCAUGAAAAUGUGGGUUAGAUGUAAGAGUAGAAGUGUAGGGAUUUGUACGUAGUGUUAAUGUAGCUGUGCAUUGUCAAUUCUGAGUUCCAAAAUCUCCAAGCACUUAUCGCACCCUGCGAUACAACAUACACAGUUGCAAGAUGGAA
rnacentral:pre_miRNA from 1 species